AGAUAAUGAACUUGAUAUAGUAUAUGUUUUGAAAACAUAAUAUAGAAUAAAAAUUCUAUUAUCUU
rnacentral:tRNA from 1 species